rnacentral:rRNA from 1 species
UACGGGGGGAGCAAGCGUUGUUCGGAUUUACUGGGCGUAAAGGGCGCGUAGGCGGCCAGCACAAGUCAGUUGUGAAAUCUCCGAGCUUAACUCGGAAAGGUCAACUGAUACUGUGCGGCUAGAGUGCGGAAGGGGCAACUGGAAUUCUUGGUGUAGCGGUGAAAUGCGUAGAUAUCAAGAGGAACACCUGCGGCGAAGGCGGGUUGCUGGGCCGACACUGACGCUGAUGCGCGAAAGCCAGGGGAGCGAACGGG